AGGAUGAACGCUGGCGGUCUGCUUAACACAUGCAAGUCGAACGGAGUAGCAAUACUUAGUGGCGCACGGGUGCGUAACGCGUGGGAAUCUGCCCUUAGGUACGGAAUAACAGUGAGAAAUUACUGCUAAUACCGUAUGAUGUCUUCGGACCAAAGAUUUAUCGCCUAGGGAUGAGCCCGCGUUGGAUUAGCUAGUUGGUGGGGUAAAGGCCUACCAAGGCGACGAUCCAUAGCUGGUCUGAGAGGAUGAUCAGCCACACUGGGACUGAGACACGGCCCAGACUCCUACGGGAGGCAGCAGUGGGGAAUAUUGGACAAUGGGCGAAAGCCUGAUCCAGCAAUGCCGCGUGAGUGAAGAAGGCCUUCGGGUUGUAAAGCUCUUUACCCGGGAAGAUAAUGACUGUACCGGAGAAUAAGCCCGGCUACUCCGCGCCAGCAGCCGC
rnacentral:rRNA from 1 species